rnacentral:rRNA from 1 species
UCUUGGGGCUUGACAUGCCGCGAGUAGGAAACCGAAAGGGGACCGACCGGUUCAGUCCGGAAGCGGAACAGGUGCUGCAUGGCUGUCGUCAGCUCGUGCCGUGAGGUGUUGGGUUCAGUCCCGCAACGAGCGCAACCCUCGCCCUCUGUUGCCACCGGGUCAUGCCGGGCACUCUGAGGGGACUGCCAGCGACAAGUUGGAGGAAGGAGAGGAUGACGUCAAGUCAUCAUGGCCCUUAUGCCCAGGGCCACACACGUGCAACAAUGGCCGGUACAGACGGAAGCAAGACCGAGAGGUGGAGCAAAUCCGAGAAAGCCGGUCCCAGUUCGGAUUGAGGUCUGCGACUCGACCUCAUGAAGUCGGAAGCGCUAGUAAUCGCGUAUCAGCACGACGCGGUGAAUACGUUCCCGGGCCUUGUACACACCGCCCGUCACACCACGAAAGUCUGUUGUACCUGAAGUCGGUGCCCCAACCGGAAACGGAGGGAGCCGCCCAAGGUAUGGCCGGUAAUU